rnacentral:rRNA from 1 species
CCUACGGGAGGCUGCAGUAGGGAAUAUUGCUCAAUGGGGGAAACCCUGAAGCAGCAACGCCGCGUGGAGGAUGAAGGUUUUCGGAUUGUAAACUCCUUUUGUUAGAGAAGAGAAUGACGGUAGCUAACGAAUAAGCACCGGCUAACUCCGUGCCAGAAGCCGCGGUAAUACGGAGGGGGCAAGCGUUACUCGGAAUCACUGGGCGGAAAGAGCGCGUAGGCGGGAUAGCAAGUCAGAUGUGCAAUCCUCUGGCUUACCCAUAGAACUGCAUUUGAUACUGGUAUUCUAGAGUAUGGGAGAGGUAGGUGGAAUUCUUGGUGUAGGGGUCACAUCCGUCGAGAUCA